ACUUCAUACGAGGAAUGUGAGGAAUGAGAAAGGAGGAAGAGGAGGAGGAAGAGGAGGAGGAGGAGGAGGAGGAAAGAAAGGGACACGAUGGAGGAAGAAAAAAUACAGUAGGAGAUGAAGGGGGAAAAGGAAGGGAAGAGAGAGAGAGAGAGAGAGAGAGAGAGAGAGAGAGAGAGAGAGAGAGAGAGAGAGAGAGAGAGAAAGUUUUUGUUAAGUAAAUAUGCCGUUGAAGUUAAUGCAGUAUAACUUAUGCACAAGAUGGAGGGUUGGGAAAAUAUAAGUAAUAAUAAAAUAAGUAAAAUUCGCUGACCAAAUAAAAGAAAAAAAGAAGUUAGUCAAUUUUGAGAAAGGAGAAAGUUGCGUGUAAUAAACUGAAUGGGGAAAGGAGAGAUAAAUUGAAGGAUUGAUGGAAACGAAAGAAAAUAAAUUAGUAAAGAUGAAAGAGAUAAAAUAAAUGAAUGAAAAAUAAAUAAUGGAUAGCGUUAACAAAUGAGGAAAUUAAAAAAAAAUAUUAAUGAGAUAUGGAAGAGAAAUUCCGAAAUGAAAGAUAAUUUGAAAGUGAUGGAAAACCAGAAAAUUAAUUGUUAAAGUAAAUAAAGAAAAUGAGAAAUGAAAAAAAAAAUUGGUAGAGUUGACAAAAAAGAAGAAAAAGAUAAUUAUACGAGAAAAUGUGAAAUGUGAGAUGACAAAAAAAAUAAAAUUGAUUGGAAGAAUAAAUGAAAAGAAAAACAAAAUGAGACGAAGAAAUUUAAUUGAUAAAGUUAAAAAUGAAGAAAAAAUGAGGAAUUGUGUGAAGAACGGACAGAAAAAGAAAAGAAAACAAAACAAAAACAAAAAUAGAAAUUAGAAAAUAAUGGAAUAGUCGAAGAAGAAAAAAAUAAGGAAGUCUAUCCGAGAAAGUGCAAAAAAAGAACAUUGAUGAUUGACAAGUACACAAAGAACCAAAAAAAUAAAAAUGAAUAAGAAAAUGAUGUAGUAGUCGAAGAAUCAAAUAAAAACAAAGAAAAUAUUAAAGUCUAACCGAGAAAGGCAAAACGAGGGAGUGUGUCAAGGACGGCCAUAAAAAAAAGAACAUUGAUGAUUGACAGAAAACACAAAGAACCAAAAAAAUAAAAAUGAAUAAGAAAAUGAUGUAGUAGUCGAAGAAGAAAAUAAAAACAAAGAAAAUAUUGAAGUUAUCCGAGAAAGUGCAAAACAAGGGAGUGUGUUAAGGACGGCCAUAAAAAAAGAACAUUGAUGAUUGACAGAGUACACAAAGAACUCACAAAAAUAAAUAAAUAAGAAAAUGAUGUAGUAGUCGAAGAAGAAAAUAAAAACAAAGAAAAUAAUUAAGUAUAUCCGAGAAAGUGCAGAACGAGGGAGUGUGUUAAGGACGGUCAUAAAAAAAAGAACAUUGAUGAUUGACAGAGUACACAAAGAACUCACAAAAACAAAUAAAUAAGAAAAUGAUGAAGUAGUCGAAGAAUCAAAUUAAAACAAAGAAAAUAAUGAAGUCUAUCCGAGAAAUUGCAAAAUGAUAGACUGUGAAGGAUGAACAUUAAAGAGAAAAUAUAAUUAGGGUAAAUAAAUAAAGAACUCCCCCCCAAAAUAAAUAAAUAUAAUAAAAUGAUGAAGUCGAAGAGUAAAAUAAAAAGAAAAUAUAUUGAAGUCUAUACGAGAAAGUGCUGAAUGAUAGACUGUGGGAAGGAUGGAAAUGAAAAAAAAAAGAGGAAAUAUAAUCGGCGUAAAUAAAUAACCAAAAAAAUAAUAGAUAAAUAAGGAAAUGAUGCACUAGUCGAAGAAUCAAAUUAAAAACAAAGAAAAUAUUGAAGUCCAUCGAGAAAGUGCGAAAUGAUAGACUUUGAAGGAUGGACAUGGAAAAUAAAAGAAAAUAUUAUUGAUACAGUAAAGGAAUAAAGAAUAAAAAUAGCGAGAAAUAAAUUGAUUGACUAAAGAAAAGAAUGGACAUGAAAAAAAGAGAAAAUAUGAUUGGCGUAAAUAAAUAAAGAAUAAAAAAUCGAGAAAUGAAUUUGUCGAGGAGUAAAGAAAAGGCUGGACAUGAAAAAGAUAAAAAUUAUUGAUACAGUAAAUGAAUAAAGAAUAAAAAUAUCGAGAAAUUAAUUGAGGUAAGAAAAGGAUGGACAUAAAAAAAAGAGAAAAUAUGAUCAAUACAAUAAACGAUAAAAAGAAAAAAAGAAAUUGAUUGAGUAAAGAAAAUGAUGGACAUAAAAAAAAGAGAAAAUAUGAUUAAUACAAUAAACGAAAAAAGAAAAAAAGAAAUUGAUUGAGUAAAGAAAAGGAAGGACAUAAAAAAGAGAAAAUAUGAUUAAUACAAUAAACGAUAAAAAGAAGAAAGAAAUUGAUUGAAGAGAAGAACUGGAUAUGAAAAAAAGAUAAUUAGUACGGUAAAAAAAAGAAAGGAAAUUGAUUGAGUAAAGACAAGGAAGGACAUAAAAAAAAAGAGAAAAUAUGAUUAAUACAAGAAAUGAAAAAAAAGAAAAAAGAAAUUGAUUGAAGAGAAGAAUUGGAUAUGAAAAAAAGAUAAUUAGUACGGUAAAAAAAAAGAAAAGGAAAUUGAUUGAGUAAAGAAAAGAAUUGGAUAUGAAAAAAAAUAUAUAA